rnacentral:rRNA from 1 species
GACGAACGCUGGCGGCGUGCCUAAUACAUGCAAGUAGAACGCAGUUGCGCAGGGGUGAGUAACGUGUAUGUAGCUGCCUCAUAGCGGGGGAUAACUAUUGGAAAAGAUAGCUUAUACCGCAAUCUGGGAGAUGGACCUGCGUUGCCAUAGCUAGUUGGUGAGGUAAAGGCUCACCAAGGCGACGAGCCAUAGCCGACCUGAGAGGGUGAGCGGGCACACUGGGACUGAGAGACGGCCAAGAAUCCCACGGGAGGCAGCAGUAGGGAGUCUUCGGGGAUGGACGGAAGUCUGACCGAGCAACGUCGCGUGAGUGAAGAAGGGUUUCGGAUCGUAAAGCGCUGUUGUUAUAGAAGCGGUAACUAACCAGAAAGCGCCGGCUAACUACGUGCCAGCAGCCGCGGUAAUAC